rnacentral:rRNA from 1 species
GACGAACGCUGGCGGCGUGCUUAACACAUGCAAGUCGAACGGAAAGGCCUCUUUCGGGGGGUACUCGAGUGGCGAACGGGUGAGUAACACGUGAGUAACCUGCCCUUGACUUUGGGAUAACUUCAGGAAACUGGGGCUAAUACCGGAUAGGAGCUCCUGCGGCAUGGGGGGGGUUGGAAAGUUUCGGCGGUUGGGGAUGGACUCGCGGCUUAUCAGCUUGUUGGUGGGGUAGUGGCUUACCAAGGCUUUGACGGGUAGCCGGCCUGGGCGGGUGACCGGCCACAUUGGGACUGGGAUACGGCCCAGACUCCUACGGGAGGCAGCAGUGGGGAAUAUUGCACAAUGGGUGGAAGCCUGAUGCAGCAACGCCGUGUGCGGGAUGACGGCCUUCGGGUUGUAAACCGCUUUCGCUCAUGACGAAGCUUUGUGUGACGGUAGUGGGUAAAGAAGCACCGGCUAACUACGUG